GCACAACGCGAAGAACCUUACCCACCUUUGACAUGUACGGAAUCCUUUAGAGAUAGAGGAGUGCUCGAAAGAGAGCCGUAACACAGGUGCUGCAUGGCUGUCGUCAGCUCGUGUCGUGAGAUGUUGGGUUAAGUCCCGCAACGAGCGCAACCCUUGCCAUUAGUUGCUACAUUUAGUUGAGCACUCUAAUGGGACUGCCGGUGACAAACCGGAGGAAGGUGGGGAUGACGUCAAGUCCUCAUGGCCCUUAUAGGUGGGGCUACGACACGUCAUACAAUGGCUGGUACAAAGGGUUGCCAACCCGCGAGGUGGAGCUAAUCUCACAAAACCGAUACGUAGUCCGGAUCGCAGUCUGCAACUCGACUGCGUGAAGUCGGAAUCGCUAGUAAUCGCGAAUCAGAAUGUCGCGGUGAA
rnacentral:rRNA from 1 species